rnacentral:rRNA from 1 species
GAUGAACGCUGGCGGCGUGCCUAAUACAUGCCAGUCGAGCGAACGGACGAGAAGCUUGCUUCUCUGAUGUUAGCGGCGGACGGGUGAGUAACACGUGGAUAACCUACCUAUAAGACUGAGAUAACUUCGGGAAACCGGAGCUAAUACCGGAUAAUAUUUUGAACCGCAUGGUUCAAAAGUGAAAGACGGUCUUGCUGUCACUUAUAGAUGGAUCCGCGCUGCAUUAGCUAGUUGGUAAGGUAACGGCUUACCAAGGCAACGAGGCAUAGCCGACCUGAGAGGGUGAUCGGCCACACGGGAACUGAGACACGGUCCAGACUCCUACGGGAGGCAGCAGUAGGGAAUCUUCCGCAAUGGGCGAAAGCCUGACGGAGCAACGCCGCGUGAGUGAUGAAGGUCUUCGGAUCGUAAAACUCUGUUAUUAGGGAAGAACAUAUGUGUAAGUAACUGUGCACAUCUUGACGGUACCUAAUCAGAAAGCCACGGCUAACUACGUG